rnacentral:rRNA from 1 species
GACAGAGGGUGCAAUCGUUGUUCGGAAUUACUGGGCGUAAAGCGCGUGUAGGCGGCAGGGUAUGUCGGAUGUGAAAUCCCGUGGCUCAACCACGGAAGUGCACCCGAAACUACCCAGCUUGAGUCUCGGAGAGGAAGGCGGAAUGCUUGGUGUAGAGGUGAAAUUCGUAGAUAUCAAGCGGAACACCGGUGGCGAAGGCGGCCUUCUGGACGAUGACUGACGCUGAGACGCGAAAGCGUGGGGAGCAAACAGG